rnacentral:sRNA from 1 species
ACGGACAGGGUUGUCCGGGGUUAUAAGCAGCAGCGGGGAUGUCGAAAAAGUAACCAACUUUUGAGACAUCCCCGUAGCCAAAGGAUGAACACGGAUGUUCAUUCUUUGGCGAUU